ACAAAAUACAGUGGUUUCACAGCACAGACACAGAGACCUAAGGAAUUAACAGCAGGAACCAAAGUGCUCUCGUAUUGCUGCUACGUAUCUGGCUGGGUACUGACAGUUCCUGGAUUCGCAUAUAUUGAUCAAAACCAGAAGGAUGUCAGAUAUGUAGAAAUGAAUCUUGCCCUUUAUGUGACUUUUGAUAAACAAAAGUUCUCAAUAUGAAUAUAAAUGAAUUUACCAACUUCUUGCAUGGGGCUUUGAGUCAUUAAAUGUGUCCAAAACAACACAUGGAUACUGUUGAUCUUUACUUGCAAGAAGCCAUAAGGAUACUCCUGGAAUGGUGCAUGCCUGGAGCAGUCGAUGGGAUGAUAAGGCUGUGAAGGCUGGGCUGAGCUAUCUGAAAAAAAGCUUCUCGAAAACAUGUUGGGUGGGAUGACAACGCAAUGUUUCCCCUUCCUUUCACAUUUCUUCCAAG